rnacentral:rRNA from 1 species
UACGAAGGGUGCUAGCGUUGUUCGGAAUUACUGGGCGUAAAGCGCGUGUAGGCGGCAGCGGCAAGUCGGGCGUGAAAUCCCACGGCUCAACCGUGGAAGUGCACUCGAAACUGCGCAGCUAGAGUCCUGGAGAGGAAGGUGGAAUGCUUGGUGUAGAGGUGAAAUUCGUAGAUAUCGAGAGGAACACCGGCGGCGAAGGCGGCGAACUGGACAGAUACUGACGCUGAGGAGCGAAAGCGUGGGGAGCGAACGAGG